rnacentral:rRNA from 1 species
AGCUCACUAGUCGAAUGACUCUGCGCCGAUAAUUUACCGGGGCUAAGUAUAUUACCGAAGCUAUGGAUUUGCCAGAGGCAAGUGGUAGGGGAGCGUUCUAUGAGCGAAGAAGCGGUACCGGAAGGAGCCGUGGAGCGCAUAGAAGAGAGAAUGCCGGUGUGAGUAGCGGAACGUGGGUGAGAAUCCCACGCACCGAAAACCCAAGGUUUCCAGAGGAAGGUUCGUCCGCUCUGGGUAAGUCGGGACCUAAGGCGAGGCCGAGAGGCGUAGUCGAUGGACAACAGGUAGAGAUUCCUGUACUUACGGUAUGAAUGAAGGAGUGACGGAGAAGGCUAGCGGAUCCUGCUGCUGGAAUAGCAGGUGCAAGCGAAGUAGCCGACAGCCAGGCAAAUCCGGCUGUCAGAGGCAAAGGCGUGAAGCGGAUGGAAAGCUGAGGCAAGUACAGAAGUCCGUGAAGCAGGCUUCCAAGAAAAGCUUCUAGUGUUAAUCAUACAGUAACCCGUACCGAAAAUGGACACACAUGGGUGAGGAGAGAAUCCUAAGGUGAGCGAGAGAACUAUAGCUAAGGAACUCUGCAAAAUGACUCCGUAACUUAGGGAGAAGGAGUGCUCAUAGAGAUAUGAGCCGCAGUGAAACGGCCCAAGCGACUGUUUACCAAAAACACAGCUCUAUGCUAAGUCGAAAGACGAUGUAUAUGGGGUGACGCCUGCCCGGUGCUGGAAGGUUAAGAGGAUGUGUCAGCGCAAGCGAAGCACUGAAUUGAAGCCCCAGUAAACGGCGGCCGUAACUAUAACGGUCCUAAGGUAGCGAAAUUCCUUGUCGGGCAAGUUCCGACCCGCACGAAAGGCGUAACGAUUUGGGCGCUGUCUCAGCUGUAGACUCGGUGAAGUCUUAGUACCUGUGAAGAUGCAGGUUGCCCGCGACUAGACGGAAAGACCCCAUGGAGCUUCACUGCAGGUUGACAUUGGGCUUGGAUGCAUGAUGUACAGGAUAGGUGGGAGGCUGUGAGCCGUGCGCGCCAGCGUACGGGGAGCCGCUGUUGGGAUACCACCCUUCAUGCAUCUAGGUCCUAACCGGAGGCAACGGGCCACGGGACAGUGUCAGUCGGGCAGUUUGACUGGGGCGGUCGCCUCCCAAAGAGUAACGGAGGCGCCCAAAGAUACCCUCAGCAUGGAUGGAAACCAUGCAUAGAGUGCAAAGGCAUAAGGGUGUCUGACUGCGAGACAUACAGGUCGAGCAGGGACGAAAGUCGGGCUUAGUGAUCCGGCGGAUCCGAAUGGAAGGGCCGUCGCUCAACGGAUAAAAGCUACCCUGGGGAUAACAGGCUGAUCUCCCCCAAGAGUUCACAUCGACGGGGAGGUUUGGCACCUCGAUGUCGGCUCAUCGCAUCCUGGAGCUGAAGUCGGUUCCAAGGGUUGGGCUGUUCGCCCAUUAAAGCGGUACGCGAGCUGGGUUCAGAACGUCGUGAGACAGUUCGGUCCCUAUCUGUCGUGGGCGCAGGAGGUUUGAGGAGAGCUGCCCCUAGUACGAGAGGACCGGGGUGGACGGACCGAUGGUGCACCAGUUGUCACGCCAGUGGCACAGCUGGGCAGCCAAGUCCGGACGGGAUAAGCGCUGAAGGCAUCUAAGCGUGAAGCCCCCUCCAAGAUGAGACCUCCCAUUGG